rnacentral:lncRNA from 1 species
CAAAAGGUUGAGAGAUGAUCUUAAUUUUCCUUUUCUUUACAUUUUCAUGAAGGCACGGAGUGUGAAUGUGAAGACACAAGCUCUUUCUGGAUACAGAGACCAAUUUAGUUUGGAGAUUACAGGUCCUAUCAUGCCUCAUUCUCUGCAUUCACUGACCAUGCUGCUCAAAUCUUCACAGAGUGGAUCUUUCUCUGCAGUACUGUAUCCACACGAGCCAACUGCUGUAUUUAACAUCUGCCUGCAAAUGGACAAAGUACUUGAUAUGGAGGUUGUUCAUAAGGAGCUUACUAACUGUGGUUUGCACCCUAACACUCUGGAGCAACUUAGUCAAAUACCGUUACUUGGGAAAUCAUCUUUACGGAAUGUGGUGCUGAGAGACUACAUUUAUAAUUGGAGAUCCUGAACACCAAAGUAAGCCUAAAAGGAAUCUUUGAGGAAAAAAGCCUUCUAGCAAGGAAAUUCAAGAUUCUUGAAGUUGAAGGAAUAUACUGAAAUGUUUAUAAACAUAACUUUUACUACAGUAGCAUCUAAGGUUUUAAAUGUGUUUUACUAUUUUCAGAUUAGAUUUUUAGAUAUAAAGAUGAAAAACUCAGAUAACUCAAAUGAGAUAUCUAUAUCCCUACAACCUAAUUGUAUAUUGAGCAGAAACUGAAUUAAUAUGCUUCCUUGCAAAUGGGAAAUCACAUAGCAGUUACCCCAUGGCAUUGUGACUAAUGGCAUCAGGGCAAAAAUAUGUUACUUUACGAUUUACCUGUUAGCAGGUUCUUGUUUCAUAAAGGUAGAAAA